UACGUAGGGGGCAAGCGUUGUCCGGAAUCAUUGGGCGUAAAGAGCGUGUAGGCGGUUCGGUAAGUCUGCCGUGAAAACCUGGGGCUCAACCCCAGGCGUGCGGUGGAUACUGCCGGGCUAGAGGGUGGUAGAGGCGAGUGGAAUUCCCGGUGUAGCGGUGAAAUGCGCAGAUAUCGGGAGGAACACCAGUAGCGAAGGCGGCUCGCUGGGCCAUUCCUGACGCUGAGACGCGAAAGCUAGGGGAGCGAACAGG
rnacentral:rRNA from 1 species